rnacentral:rRNA from 1 species
UACGUAGGGUGCAAGCGUUAAUCGGAAUUACUGGGCGUAAAGCGUGCGCAGGCGGCUUUGCAAGACAGAUGUGAAAUCCCCGGCUUAACCUGGGAACUGCAUUUGUGACUGCAUCGCUGGAGUGCGGCAGAGGGGGGAUGGAAUUCCGCGUGUAGCAGUGAAAUGCGUAGAUAUGCGGAGGAACACCGAUGGCGAAGGCAAUCCCCUGGGCCUGCACUGACGCUCAUGCACGAAAGCGUGGGGAG